AGGCAGCAGUUGGGAAUCUUCCACAAUGGACGCAAGUCUGAUGGAGCAACGCCGCGUGAGUGAAGAAGGGUUUCGGCUCGUAAAGCUCUGUUGUUGGUGAAGAAGGACAGGGGUAGUAACUGACCUUUGUUUGACGGUAAUCAAUUAGAAAGUCACGGCUAACUACGUGCCAGCAGCCGCGGUAAUACGUAGGUGGCAAGCGUUGUCCGGAUUUAUUGGGUGUAAAGCGAGUGCAGGCGGCUCGAUAAGUCUGAUGUGAAAGCCUUCGGCUCAACCGGAGAAUUGCAUCAGAAACUGUCGAGCUUGAGUACAGAAGAGGAGAGUGGAACUCCAUGUGUAGCGGUGAAAUGCGUAGAUAUAUAGAAGAACACCGGUGGCGAAGGCGGCUCUCUGGUCUGUUACUGACGCUGAGGCUCGAAAGCAUGGGUAGCGAACAGGAUUAGAUACCCUAGUAGUCC
rnacentral:rRNA from 1 species